rnacentral:rRNA from 1 species
UGGUGGAGCGAUUUGUCUGGUUAAUUCCGAUAACGAGCGAGACCUCAACCUACUAAUUAGUAACCAGAUUCUUCGGAAUCGAAUUACUUCUUAGAGGGACUACCGGUUUUUAACCGGUAGGAAGUUUGUAGGCAAUAACA